GAUUGAGCAUCUUGUUGUCUUGGCCACACAAAACAGUAUAUGAUCAUGGUUGUUUGCAGUUUAAUGCUCGGUCUGAGUCAAUAAAGGCGAAGGCUUCAUUUCGCCGCCUUGUCCCAAAGAAUAGGUGCCUGGUUGCUGUUGAAGGAUUUUAUGAGUGGAAAAAUGAUGGGUCAAAAAAGCAACCUUAUUACAUACAUUUUAAGGAUGGCCAGCCCCUGGUGUUUGCUGCCCUUUAUGACUCUUGGAAAAAUCCUAAAGGAGAGGUUCUUUACACAUUUACUAUAUUGACAACUUCGGUGUCCUCAUCUUUAGUAUGGCUCCAUGGUUAGUUUUCUUUUAUUGAC